rnacentral:rRNA from 1 species
ACAUGCCUACAACAUAGCGUUAAUGCAUCGGAUCCCAUUAGAACUCUGCAAUUAAGCGUGCUCAGGCUACAGUAGUAUUGGAAUGGGUGGUUGCUCGGAAAGUCCUAGUGUUUUACAUGCC